CCGUCCGACCCGCUGUCCCAUCCGACCCGCCGUCCCAUCCGACCCGCGUACCCAGCAACCCGUCCCAUCCGAACCGAGGCAGUCGAGGCUUCGGUCAUGCAUGACGUACGCGUACGCGCUGCGUACGAGCGUACGCCCCGCGUUCGGAGGCGGUUCAGCCUUCCUAUAAAUAGGAUGCGAGGCUUUCCGAAAAUGUUGCUCAUUUCUCUCCUCUCUCUCACAACUUUGCCUCGUUUUCCGUGCCCGUUAUAACCCGAAGCUCUGGUCUUUUUGCUCAAGUCCCGAGGGUCGAUUUUACUCCCGAGAUUCCCGAGAAUCCCGAGAAAAAUCCGUUUUCCGAGACGAAACUCUGCCCGGUUUUCCAUCUCGCUUUCUUCAAUCAAUCAAGUGAGUUUCAUACCCCUUAAUCAACCUUUUAAAUAUUCUAAAUGCUUUUAUAUGCUUUCAAAGGGGGGGAAUACAAGUUAAAUACUUAUAGUUAUUGUUUCAAUCACAUGUGAUUGCAUUAAUCACAUGUGAUUAAUAACUAGGGAAACCAGUGAUUUUACCACUAUUCAAACUAUCUAUCAAACUGUUUUACUUCUAAAUGUUUUCCAAACCCAUUUACUUUUCGAAUUUACACUGCAACUGUGAUUUAAACAAAUGUUCCUUAUACUUAAUCUGUUUCAAUCAAAUCUACGCCUUCAAAUUGUUUUAUAGAUUGACAUCAAGUCAAUCUUUCUUUAAAAAUAAUUCUUACGUUUCAAAUGUCUUAUAAAUACUUAUUUAUGUUUUUAUAUUGUAAAUUGCAUGCCCAUAUAUGUAUAGACGUAUAAAUAAUGUUUAAAAGACCUAGGAAGGCUAUCCACCCUAUUUCCUUUUUGCGCCUUGAGAUGUGGUCUGGUGGGAUUUUGGGUGACCAUCCGAAGGUCGUUUCCAUGUUAAUUAUAUAUCAAAUAUACAUAUAUAGACAUAAAAGUACUUCCAUAAUCAUACGUACUAGACGCACCGUUAACAAGUUACCAUCGGGGUAACACAGAACCAUACUAUUACAACUGCUAGAUCAAUGAGUCAGUUCAUUCAUGAGUCUAUACUAGGAAGAGAAUAUAUACAACUAUACUACGAGAACAUAUACAACUAUACUAGAACAAGAAACAUUUCAUCACAUAUGCAAGAAUACGAUAACAAAUGUGAUCCACUGUAUCGGAGCAUGCCUUAAAUGUCAUGGCCCGAGUUGUAGCCAGAAUUCUCUUGGAGGGAGAGCGUUGAGUUUGCGUAUAGAUCUAUACUGGAUUGACUAUCCUACACCUUGCUGCUAGCUACAGCCGGACCUGCAGGUCUGCGGGUGCCAAACGUCAUUCCGUUAUUACGACCGUUCUUUAUGUCGUUGUUAUCAGUCGAUAGUAUGGUGCAAUUAUCACAUUAUACCUUAAUAUAAAUCCGGUUUAAGGUAGUAGUAAUUAGUACAACAGUAGUUCUUAUUAUACAAAACUACAGUACUACAAUGAUUUACCCAUUACAUAUUUUGGUGAUAAUCUCACUUAAGCAUUAAUGUACAAACUAUAUUUUAUCAAAUGAUAGUUAUACUUGGGUAAUCACACACUUUUACAACAGACGAGUUUACAAAACAGUUAAGCCUUGGUAGAAGGUUACUAUUAUAGAAAAUAUAGGAUUUUCUGAGAGAUUCAAACUUUUGCAAAUACUUUUAAACAUUUAUUUACAUUUUUACAAACUUAUACAUUGGGACAAGUUCAAACGUUUUUGACAAUGAACAUUGACACUAAAAUACUUAUGAACUCACCAGCUUAAUGCUGAUAAACUCUUUCAAAAUAACUUGUAUUCUCAGGUCAUCAGUAGACAGGUACCGAUGCCAGCUUUUGAGAUGAUGGAGCGUACUCAAGACUCAUCAUUUUAUUAUUUUGAUUUACGUUAUAUUUUUGGUGUCUAAAACUGUACAGAACACGCAUGUAUUAAAUUUAUAUAUUUAAUGCAAUGGAUGAUGUUGUUUGCCUAUUUACAUUUACUGUGUUGUGAUUACCUUACAUGACGUCCUCCGCCCCAGAACGUUUCCGCCGUUCUUGGUUUUGGGGUGUGACAGAUUGGUAUCAGAGCAUUGUUUAUAGUGAAUUGAGUAUAUCAACCCAUAAAAGAUAUACUAAACUAUAAACCCAUUAGGGAUUAAACUCUGACCAAGAGUCUAUACUUUAAAUAAUAAAAUAUUUAACUAAGUAUACUAGUCUGCAUUCAUACUAAAAUAAGUGUCACAAUGACAAGAACAAAAGUAUUACGAUUGUUAAAUAUCACAAGUGAGCUCGGGGAUGUAUGGUCAGUCCUGGGAAUGGCAUAGCCUGAUCAACUAUGCUGAUCCUAGGAGUGAUUAGCACAUGCCUUAGAAUGGUUGUGAUAGGUUAACAAGUCUAAAAACUUACCAACAAUACCACAAGAAGAUCAAUAGAACUUAAACUUAAAAUACUAUAGGAGUAUUUUGCGCUACUAGUUACACGUAUACUAUAUUCUUAUACCUCUAUUCUCGCGUAGAUCUUGAUGGCUAGAUAUCCAUCAUGGCGACCCGUACUUUCCCAAUGAAGGCAAUGCCGGGUGGAUCGAUGAAGAGCCCGAAGUUGAUCAUCCAAUCCCUUUGGAUGAUCACCUCGCAGAAGGCUUUUCAGAUGGAUUCGACUCCGAGCCUGAAGUCAACAACCUACCGCUCAUAGGUCAAGCCCCGAACAACAACCCUCAACCAGCGUUUCCAGGUCUUACACCCAUGUGGGCAAACAACCUGAACCACUGGAGUAAUGAUCAGGGUCAACCCUUACCAUACUUUGGGGACCGAACCUGUUAUAACGUCAGCGAUGGUGGCUCUACUGACCGAGCUUUGCCUGUCCUUAUCCGCAGAAUAGCUCGUAUUGUCAAGCAAGGUGGAGCAGCCGUCGACCGGGUCAUAGAGAUUGAUGCCGACUCAGGUGUCAACACAGUCCGCAUCCGUCGUCUUGGAGAAGACAUGGAACGGACCCGGAGGACAAAUAAAACCCUGCAGUAGCAGUUGGCUGCCUCACGAGCUGAAAUAUUGGAACUUCGAGCUCGUCAGAGGACUCAGGAUCGACCCAUUCAAGAGGUGUCUCGUCAAGUGUCCGACCGCAGUACUCGCCGGGAUUUCCCAUCGCCGUUGGUUAAUGUCUAGUACAUCUCCGUCUUUUAAUUAAAGGAUAGCCUUUAACAUCUGUGCUCCAAGUAGCACUUGUGUGUAAAAUGUUUCUAACUUCCGUACUCAAAUUUGAAAUCUAGGAAUUGUCAAACUUUUCUAUAUGGUAUGAUGUAUGACCUACUGUUAGGUCGAUUUUCCCUGAACUUAUUACAUCAGUAAUACCAGUAUUUUUNNNNNNNNNNNNNNNNNNNNNNNNNNNNNNNNNNNNNNNNNNNNNNNNNNNNNNNNNNNNNNNNNNNNNNNNNNNNNNNNNNNNNACUAUGGUUAGUUAGUCUCCAUGUGUCUCUCACGUUGCUUACAAAUUGAUUCUUACCAUCUUUCUUAUCUUUAUAAACUUAUAGCUGAAGGAUGCCUCCUCGCAAGUGUCCCAGGAAUAGGAAUAAUCCUGCACCUCCACCACCUCCUCCGCCUCCGGUCAUCGAUACUGUAGCCCUGAAUGCUGUCGUAGCUGCAGCAGUGGCAACUGCCAUGGCUCAGUAUCACUCUUCUGAUGCCAGCAGAGGUGGAACCCCUGUGGAAUCUAUUCCGAUCGAAAUCCCUGUGCGCUCAAGGGAGUGCUCUUACAAGGAUUUUACAAACUGCAAGCCGAAGCCUUUCUAUGGCACCGGCGGAGUCAUUGCUCUCUCGCAAUGGUUCGAGAAGACUGAAUCAGUCUUCGAAAUCUGUUCAUGCCCUGCUGCGUGCAAAGUGAAAUAUGCCGCAUGCACCUUUGAGGGUAAAGCCCUAACGUGGUGGAACGGCCACGUCAAAGCCCUAACUCUCGUCGUAGCCAACGACAUGGGCUGGGAAACAAUGAAAGACCUCAUGACUGAGGAAUACUGCCCGAGGGGCGAGAUCCAGAAACUGGAGCAGGAACUCUGGAACCUGUCGAUGAAGGGCACCAAUGUGGUCGCUUAUACUGCCCGAUUCAGCGAGCUGGUGGCCCUCUGCCCCAAUAUGGUUCCCACCGAGGGGAAGAAGAUCGAGAGGUACAUAUGGGGACUAGUGCCUCCGUAUCAGGGGAAUGUGCUAGCGUCAAACCCCGCUACCUUCGACAGUGCCAAACGAUUGGCACAACGACUCAUUGACCAUGGAGUCAAAACCCCUGCAACCACAACCACCCUAGCCAUCCCGGAACCCUCCAAACCCGCCGAUACUAAGCGGAAAUUCUGGGAUGAAAGGAAGAAGCAUCAGGCUGCCAAAAAGCAGCAAUUGGUGGCAAUUCAUGCCGCAGUAACCCCUACUGCUGCUACUACUGCUCCGGUGAGUCGGUAUGCUGGAAGUUCGCCCAAGUGCAACAAAUGCAGCUACCACCACAACGGCCCCUGCCGUGAAUUGCAGUGCUCUAACUGCAACAGGAAAGGACACACCGUCCGAUUCUGUAAGUUCCCGGCACAACCUAUCAACCAAGUCCCUGGCUCUGGCGCGAGCCCAACCUGCUAUGGAUGUGGCGAAGCAGGCCACUUUAAGAGGGACUGCCCCAAAGCGAGGAAUGCUGGAGGAGCAGGGAGGGUACUGGCUAUAGGCCACGGGGAAGCAGUUGCUGACCCGACAGUAGUAACCGGUACGUUCCUCCUCGAUAACUCCUAUGCAUGCAUUCUAUUCGAUAGUGGAGCGGAGCGAAGCUUCGUAAACCAUAAAUUUGCUCGCAUGCUUAAUCAACCACCGCACGCACUCAAAGAACUAUUUACAGUAGAAAUGGCUAAUGGAAAAACUGAAAAUACGAGUAGCAUAUACUUAGGUUGUACCCUAACCCUAGACAACCAUUCAUUUCCAAUCGACCUCAUGCCAGUCUCAAUAAAAAGUUUCGACGUCAUCAUUGGCAUGGACUGGUUAAGCCUUCAUCGUGCCGACAUCAUGUGCUUCGAGAAAGCAGUCCGUCUAAACCUUCCGUCUAACGAAACUCUUAUAGUCUAUGGCGACAAACCCGGUGCAAGUCUUCGCAUCAUAUCAAGUAUUCAAGCACAGAAAUACCUGCGUAAGGAAUACCACGCAUUCCUUGCUCACGUCGUCGACACGAACCUAGAAACGAAAGAACUAAAGAACCUCCCAGUAGUGAGCGACUUCCCCGACAUUUUCCCAGAAGAACUACCCGGAUUACCUCCGCAACGACAAGUCGAGUUCAGAAUCGACUUAGUCCCAGGAGCUACCCCAGUAGCCAAGUCGCCCUACCGUUUAGCACCAGCCGAGAUGCAAGAACUCUCUGGUCAACUUAACGAACUGCUCAGCAAGGGCUUUAUAAGGCCAAGUUUCUCACCUUGGGGAGCACCGGUCUUGUUUGUUAAGAAGAAGGACGGAUCCUUCCGUAUGUGUAUUGACUACAGAGAACUCAACAAACUGACGGUCAAGAAUCGUUAUCCUCUACCACGCAUAGAUGAUCUAUUCGACCAACUGCAAGGGGCGAACUAUUUUUCUAAGAUUGAUCUGAGAUCCGGAUAUCACCAGUUACGAGUGCUAGAGGAGGAUGUGCCGAAGACCGCCUUCCGAACUCGUUACGGACAUUACGAGUUCGUGGUGAUGCCAUUCGGAUUGACCAAUGCGCCCGCAGUCUUCAUGGAUCUGAUGAAUAGAGUAUGCCGACCCUACUUGGAUCAGUUCGUCAUCGUUUUCAUUGACGACAUCCUAAUCUACUCCCGAAGUAAGAAAGAACAUGGCGAUCAUCUGCGACAAGUUCUAGGGACAUUACGAAAAGAGAAACUUUAUGCGAAGUUCUCGAAAUGUGAAUUUUGGAUCCGAAGAGUCGAAUUCUUAGGACACGUGGUAAGCGAAGAGGGAAUCCACGUGGACCCAUCCAAAAUUAAGGCCAUUGAGAACUGGUCAGCACCGAAGACUCCUACAGAAAUUCGUCAAUUUCUAGGUCUCGCUGGCUACUACCGCAGGUUCAUUCAGAACUUCUCACGAAUAGCGAAGCCUCUUACAACCCUAACCCAGAAAGGUGUGGCCUUUGACUGGGAAGAGAAACAAGAAAGAGCGUUCCAAACGCUCAAACGAGCCUUGUGCACCGCACCAAUACUAUCCCUUCCCGAAGGAAUAGAAGACUUCGUAGUUUAUUGCGAUGCAUCAAACCAAGGACUCGGAUGUGUUCUGAUGCAGCGAGGUAAGGUCAUCGCCUACGCCUCAAGACAAUUGAAGACACACGAGGUUAACUACACGACCCACGAUCUUGAACUAGGAGCAGUAGUGUUUGCUCUGAAGAUCUGGAGACAUUACUUGUAUGGAACGAAGAGCACUAUCUUUACCGACCACAAGAGUUUACAACACAUUUUCGAUCAGAAGGAGCUCAACAUGAGACAACGACGAUGGGUCGAGCUACUCAGUGAUUACGAAUGCGAUAUUCGUUAUCAUCCGGGUAAAGCCAACGUAGUAGCAGACGCCCUAAGUCGGAAGGAAUAUUCUGGUCGCAAAGUCAAGUCAUUAUCGAUAACCAUCCAUUCACACCUGACUAAGCAAAUUCAGGCGGCUCAACUUGAGGCCAUGAAAUCUGAAAAUGUGUCAAGUGAAUCCCUUAGAGGAAUGGACAAGAAUUUAGAAGCCAAGGGUGACGGAGCUUUAUAUUUCAUGAACCGGAUCUGGACACCGAAACAUGGUGGCUUCCGAGACUUGGUCAUGACCGAGGCGCACAACACUCGGUAUUCCGUCCACCCAGGUUCAGAUAAGAUGUAUCUGGAUCUUAAGAAGCUAUACUGGUGGCCUAAUAUGAAAGCAGAGAUUGCUACCUUCGUAAGUAAAUGCCUUACUUGCGCAAAGGUUAAGGUCGAGUACCAGAAGCCCUCUGGUUUAUUGCAGCAACCAGAGAUCCCGGAAUGGAAGUGGGAGCGGAUCACUAUGGAUUUCAUAACCAAGUUGCCCAAGACAACGGGUGGACUUGACACCAUAUGGGUCAUCGUUGAUAGAUUGACCAAGUCUGCACACUUCCUGCCUAUCAAAGAAACCGACAAGAUGGAGAAGCUUACGAGAACAUACAUUAGGGAAAUCGUACGGCUACAUGGUGUACCUAUGUCCAUUAUCUCCGAUAGAGAUAGUAGGUUCACCUCAAGAUUUUGGCAAUCACUACAACAUUCCCUAGGAACGAGGCUGGACAUGAGCACAGCCUACCAUCCUCAGACCGACGGACAGAGUGAGAGGACCAUCCAAACUCUAGAAGAUAUGUUGCGAGCCUGCGUGAUUGACUUUGGGAAGGCAUGGGAUACUCAUUUACCCCUUGUCGAGUUUUCCUAUAAUAACAGUUAUCACACGAGCAUCAAGGCUGCUCCAUUUGAAGCUCUCUACGGCCGUAAGUGCAGAUCCCCUCUGUGCUGGGCUGAGGUGGGUGAUACCCAAUUAGCCAGGGGGCAAACUUCCGACAGUACUCUCACCGGUCCGGAGAUCAUUCGGGAAACAACAGAGAAAAUCGUUCAGAUCCGUGAACGAUUGAAAGCCUCUAGAGACCGACAGAAGAGCUACGCUGAUAAACGAAGGAAACCUUUGGAAUUUCAGGUGGGAGACCGAGUCCUCCUCAAAGUCUCACCCUGGAAGGGCUUGAUACGCUUCGGCAAGCGUGGAAAGCUUAAUCCGAGGUACAUAGGGCCUUUCGAGAUUCUUGCAAGAGUCGGCCCCGUAGCUUACAAACUCGAACUACCAGACGCACUUCGUAACGUACAUUCUACAUUCCACGUAUCUAACUUGAAAAAGUGUCUAUCCGACGAGACUCUUGUAAUCCCACUCGACGAGAUCGAAAUCAACGAGAGCCUCAACUUCGUGGAAGAACCUAUAGAGAUCAUGGACCGUGAGGUCAAGCAGACAAAGCAAAGCCGUAUCCCUAUCGUGAAGGUUCGCUGGAAUGCCAAGCGAGGACCGGAAUUCACUUGGGAACGUGAGGAUCAGAUGAAACUGAAAUACCCUCACCUUUUUGCUUAGUUAUUUGUAAUUUCUAACUUGCUUAAAAUUCUAAUUUCGGGACGAAAUUCCUUCUAACGGGGGGAUGAUGUGACAACCCGAUAUUUCGAGUCAAUGUAAUGUAAAACCGAUCAAAUUUAGGUCAAAAUGUAACCUUCCUAAAAUCUUAUUCGGAUUAAAUAAAGUAGUAGGAAUCAUAUCAAGGUUUGCGUACAUAAAAAGAACGUCCAAAUCUGACUUCGGAUGAGGAAGUUAUGAAUUUUUGAAGAAAUUCCUUAAUCACGUCAUUUUAAUAAAUAAAUAAUAAAAAUAAUUUCGGAAUUUGCCAACGGAAUCUAAACGAAAGUUGUAGAUCAUGGUCUCACCUUCGCGUGGAUAUAAAGAACGUCAAAAACGGAGUUCGUAUGAGGGAGAUAUGAAUUUUUGAAGUUUAUUUAUAAUAAAUAUAAAUUUAAUUAUAAAUUCCCGGUAAUAUCCGAAGGGGAGUCAUCGGAUUGGACCGAAGUACGCCCUGCGUACCUUCGUACGCCCCGCGUACUGAGAUCGAGGGUCUCGGAUCGUCCACGUCGCACUAUCCGAAGAGUUCUAAACCGUCCGACCCGUCCGAAGCUCCGACCCGUCCGACCCGCUGUCCCGUCCGACCCGCCGUCCCAUCCGACCCGCGUACCCAGCAACCCGUCCCAUCCGAACCGAGGCAGUCGAGGCUUUGCUCAUGCAUGAUGUAUGCGUACGCGCUGCGUAAGAGCGUACGCCCCGCGUACGGAGGCGGUUCAACGUUCCUAUAAAUAGAAUGAGAGGCUUUCCAAAAAUGUUGCUCAUUUCUCUCCUCUCUCUCACAACCUUGCCUCGUUUUCCGUGCCCGUUAUAACCCGGAGCUCUGGUCUUUUUGCUCAAGUCCCGAGGGUCGAUUUUACUCCCGAGAUUCCCGAGAAUCC
rnacentral:lncRNA from 1 species